AUCAUGGCUCAGAUUGAACGCUGGCGGCAGGCCUAACACAUGCAAGUCGAACGGUAACAGGAAGCAGCUUGCUGCUUGCUGACGAGUGGCGGACGGGUGAGUAAUGUCUGGGAAACUGCCCGAUGGAGGGGGAUAACUACUGGAAACGGUAGCUAAUACCGCAUAAUGUCGCAAGACCAAAGAGGGGGACCUUCGGGCCUCUUGCCAUCGGAUGUGCCCAGAUGGGAUUAGCUAGUUGGUGAGGUAACGGCUCACCAAGGCGACGAUCCCUAGCUGGUCUGAGAGGAUGACCAGCCACACUGGAACUGAGACACGGUCCAGACUCCUACGGGAGGCAGCAGUGGGGAAUAUUGCACAAUGGGCGCAAGCCUGAUGCAGCCAAUGCCGCGUGUAUGAAGAAGGCCUUCGGGUUGUAAAGUACUUUCAGCGGGGAGGAAGGGGUUAAGGUUAAUAACCUUAGCCAUUGACGUUACCCGCAGAAGAAGCACCGGCUAACUCCGUGCCAGCCGCGGC
rnacentral:rRNA from 1 species